GACGAACGCUGGCGGCGUGCUUAACACAUGCAAGUCGAACGGAAAGGCCCUGCUUUUGUGGGAUGCUCGAGUGGCGAACGGGUGAGUAACACGUGAGUAACCUGCCCUUGACUUUGGGAUAACUUCAGGAAACUGGGGCUAAUACCGGAUAGGAGCUCCGGCUGCAUGGUGGGGGUUGGAAAGUUUCGGCGGUUGGGGAUGGACUCGCGGCUUAUCAGCUUGUUGGUGGGGUAGUGGCUUACCAAGGCUUUGACGGGUAGCCGGCCUGCGAGGGUGACCGGCCACAUUGGGACUGAGAUACGGCCCAGACUCCUACGGGAGGCAGCAGUGGGGAAUAUUGCACAAUGGGCGGAAGCCUGAUGCAGCAACGCCGCGUGCGGGAUGACGGCCUUCGGGUUGUAAACCGCUUUCGCCUGUGACGAAGCGUGAGUGACGGUAAUGGGUAAAGAAGCACCGGCUAACUACGUG
rnacentral:rRNA from 1 species